rnacentral:rRNA from 1 species
UACGGGGGGAGCAAGCGUUGUUCGGAUUUACUGGGCGUAAAGGGCGCGUAGGCGGUCAGCACAAGUCAGUUGUGAAAUCUCCGGGCUUAACUCGGAAAGGUCAACUGAUACUGUGCGACUAGAGUGCAGAAGGGGCAACUGGAAUUCUCGGUGUAGCGGUGAAAUGCGUAGAUAUCGAGAGGAACACCUGAGGUGAAGACGGGUUGCUGGGCUGACACUGACGCUGAGGCGCGAAAGCUAGGGUAGCAAACGGG